AAAUUUUCUGCAAGAUUAGUUUAAAAAAAGAAAAGAAAAACCACACACACACACACAUACCCCACCCUCCCAAGGGUGUUUUCUUAGGAGAUCAGACCCAGAAAAUUAGCUAAAAUGCAGAGAAACACAGGCCAUGUGCUGACUGACAAACCCCCUGUAGAGUGAUAUUAAUCUGAGCUCCUCCACAGCAGUGCGUAGCCUUUACUGGAUUCUGUAGUCCCAGCACCUACUACACGGCAUCUUAGGUGCUCAACACCUAUUCUGUUGAGUAGAAAAUACUAUCACCACCACCAUUCUAGAAGUCUUUUCUUUUAUUGUCCCACCAAUGCGAAGAUACUUCAAACUUUUUUUUUUUGAGAGCCAUGGCAAUCUUUUUACACUUGAUUUUAGCCAAAAGGCCAAGAAGCAAUGAAAGCCAUGAUAAUCUUUUUAUGCAAUGUUAUCAGGUAAAAAAUGGCUAAAGUAUAUUAGCAUUUACCCGAGUGGUAUUCUUUUAUAGAACUCAGCUACUAAAACCAGGGAGAGUACAAAAACAGCUGUUCAGCUGACCUCCAAACCCUGAAGUUCUUAA
rnacentral:lncRNA from 1 species